GUGGGGAAUAUUGGACAAUGGGCGAAAGCCUGAUCCAGCCAUGCCGCGUGUGUGAAGAAGGCCUUUUGGUUGUAAAGCACUUUAAGCGAGGAGGAGGCUACUUGGAUUAAUACUCUAGGAUAGUGGACGUUACUCGCAGAAUAAGCACCGGCUAACUCUGUGCCAGCAGCCGCGGUAAUACAGAGGGUGCGAGCGUUAAUCGGAUUUACUGGGCGUAAAGCGUGCGUAGGCGGCUUUUUAAGUCGGAUGUGAAAUCCCUGAGCUUAACUUAGGAAUUGCAUUCGAUACUGGGAAGCUAGAGUAUGGGAGAGGAUGGUAGAAUUCCAGGUGUAGCGGUGAAAUGCGUAGAGAUCUGGAGGAAUACCGAUGGCGAAGGCGACCACCUGGACUGAUACUGACACUGAGGUGCGAAAGCGUGGGAAGCAAACAGGAUUAGAAACCCGGGUAGUCC
rnacentral:rRNA from 1 species